CCUACGGGAGGCAGCAGUGAGGAAUAUUGGUCAAUGGACGAGAGUCUGAACCAGCCAAGUAGCGUGAAGGAUGACUGCCCUAUGGGUUGUAAACUUCUUUUAUAUGGGAAUAAAACGUUCCACGUGUGGGAUUUUGUAUGUACCAUAUGAAUAAGGAUCGGCUAACUCCGUGCCAGCAGCCGCGGUAAUACGGAGGAUCCGAGCGUUAUCCGGAUUUAUUGGGUAUAAAGGGAGCGUAGGUGGAUUGUUAAGUCAGUUGUGAAAGUUUGCGGCUCAACCGUAAAAUUGCAGUUGAAACUGGCAGUCUGGAGUAUAGUAGAGGUGGGCGGAAUGCGUGGUGUAGCGGUGAAAUGCUUAGAUAUCACGAAGAACUCCGAUUGCGAAGGCAGCUCACUGGACUGCAACUGACACUGAGGCUCGAAAGUGUGGGUAUCAAACAGGAUUAGAUACCCGAGUAGUC
rnacentral:rRNA from 1 species